GUAUGUGGCUGUAGUACUUCACUCCUCCUCAGGCAUGUGGUUGUAGUACUUCACUCCUCUUCAGGUAGGCGGUUGUAGUACUUCACUCCUCCUCAGGUAGGCGGCUGUAGUACUUCACUCCUCCUCAGGUAGGCGGCUGUAGUACUUCACUCCUCCUCAGGUAUGUGGUUGUAGUACUUCACUCCUCCUCAGGUAGGCGGUUGUAGUACUUCACUCCUCCUCAGGUAGGCGGUUGUAGUACUUCACUCCUCCUCAGGUAUGUGGUUGUAGUACUUCACUCCUCCUCAGGUAGGCGGUUGUAGUACUUCACUCCUCCUCAGGUAGGCGGUUGUAGUACUUCACUCCUCCUCAGGUAGGCGGUUGUAGUACUUCACUCCUCCUCAGGUAGGCGGUUGUAGUACUUCACUCCUCCUCAGGUAGGCGGUUGUAGUACUUCACUCCUCCUCAGGUAUGUGGUUGUAGUACUUCACUCCUCCUCAGGUAGGCGGUUGUAGUACUUCAC